CAUAUCCAUAAGCGGAGGAAAAGAAACUAACAAGGAUUCCCCUAGUAACUGCGAGUGAAGCGGGAAAAGCUCAAAUUUAAAAUCUGGCGGUCUUUGGCUGUCCGAGUUGUAAUCUAGAGAAGUGUUAUCCUGCUGGACCGUGUACAAGUCUCCUGGAAUGGAGCGUCAUAGAGGGUGAGAAUCCCGUCUUUGACACGGACUGCCAGGACUUUGUGAUGCGCUCUCAAAGAGUCGAGUUGUUUGGGAAUGCAGCUCAAAAUGGGUGGUAAAUUCCAUCUAAAGCUAAAUAUUGGCGAGAGACCGAUAGCGAACAAGUACCGUGAGGGAAAGAUGAAAAGAACUUUGGAAAGAGAGUUAAACAGUACGUGAAAUUGCUGAAAGGGAAACGCUUGAAGUCAGUCGCGUUGUCCAGGGAUCAACCUUGCUUUUGCUUGGUGCACUUUCUGGUUGACGGGUCAGCAUCAAUUUUGAUCAUUGGAAAAAGAUUAGGGGAAUGUGGCAUCUUCGGAUGUGUUAUAGCCCUUGGUUGCAUACAAUGGUUGGGAUUGAGGAACUCAGCACGCCGCAAGGCCGGGUUUUUAACCACGUACGUGCUUAGGAUGCUGGCAUAAUGGCUUUAAUCGACCCGUCUUGAAACACGGACCAAGGAGUCUAACAUGCCUGCGAGUGUUUGGGUGGAAAACCCGAGCGCGUAAUGAAAGUGAAAGUUGAGAUCCCUGUCGUGGGGAGCAUCGACGCCCGGACCAGACCUUUUGUGACGGUUCCGCGGUAGAGCAUGUAUGUUGGGACCCGAAAGAUGGUGAACUAUGCCUGAAUAGGGUGAAGCCAGAGGAAACUCUGGUGGAGGCUCGUAGCGAUUCUGACGUGCAAAUCGAUCGUCAAAUUUGGGUAUAGGGGCGAAGACUAAUCGA
rnacentral:rRNA from 1 species